rnacentral:rRNA from 1 species
GUGGGGAAUAUUGCACAAUGGAGGAAACUCUGAUGCAGCGAUGCCGCGUGAGGGAAGAAGGUUUUCGGAUUGUAAACCUCUGUCAUCGGGGACGAUAAUGACGGUACCCGAGAAGGAAGCUCCGGCUAACUACGUGCCAGCAGCCGCGGUAAUACGUAGGGAGCAAGCGUUAUCCGGAAUUACUGGGUGUAAAGGGAGUGUAGGCGGGGUAGCAAGUCAGAUGUGAAAAUUAUGGGCUCAACUCAUAACCUGCAUUUGAAACUGUUGCUCUUGAGUGAAGUAGAGGUAAGCGGAAUUCCUAGUGUAGCGGUGAAAUGCGUAGAUAUUAGGAGGAACAUCAGUGGCGAAGGCGGCUUACUGGGCUUUUACUGACGCUGAGGCUCGAAAGCGUGGGUAGCAAACAGGA